AUGCUCCUCAUUCCAUGUCCUCUUCUUAAUCUGACUUGAAUUUCUGGCUAUUCCCUGUAGAUGUACUGUUGCAACUGUUUUUGAGCUAUCUUCAGCAAAAUUUUCCUUGGGUGAGAUAUUAAUGUAAUUGUUCAAUAGUUUCUGCAUUUGGGUGGAUCACCUUUCUUUGGAAUAGGCCUAAAUAUGGAUCUCUUCUGGUUGGCUGGCCAGGUAGCUGUCUUCCAAAUUUUUUUGCAUCGACAAGUGAGCACUUCCAUCACUACAUCAGUUUGUUGAAACCUCUCAGCUGGUAUCCUGUCGGUUCCUGGAGCCUUGUUUUACACCAGUGUCUUCAGUGUAGCUUAGGCUUCUUCCUUCAGUACUGCUGGUUCUUGAUAAUAUGCUACCUCCUGAAAUGGUUGAACAUCCACCAGUUCUUUUGGUACAGUGACUGUGUAUUCCUUCUAUCUGCUUUCGAUGCUUCCUGAGUCGUUCAGUAUUUUGCCCAUAGAGUCAUUUACUAUUGAAACUUGAGGCUUGAAUUUUUUCUUCAGUUCUUUCAGCUUGAGAAAUGCCAUUUGGUUUUCUUACUCCAGGUCUUUGCACAUGUCAUUAUAAUACUUUACUUUGCCUUCUUGAGAUAGCCUUUGAAAUUUGCUGUUCAGCUCUUUUACUUCAUCAUCUCGUCAUCAUUCUGACUCACAGCCAGUCUAAAACAGUCUAAAAUUUACCCCUGACUUUUUUGUAAGAAAAUAAUUUAUGCUGUAGGGAAUAAACUCAACCUCGGCACUAUGGACAGUUUAGACCAAAUAAUUUUUUGUUGUGGGUGGCUCUGCUGUUCCUUUUGGGAUGUUGAGCAUUAUCCCUGCCCCUAUCAACUAGAUGGCAUUAGUACACUCCCCACAGUGGUGACAAUCGAAAGUGUCUCCAGAUAUUCUCAAAUAUCCCUGGAGUGGGGGGAGGGAAAAAAUUGCCCAGGUUGAAUGAAAAACACAGCUCUUGGAGGACUUGAUGAGGCAAAACUGCCUAAAAAAACAGAUUUCCUGUGUCUGUAGAGGUUUUUUUUUUCUCCUUGUGGUGUUUUAUCUUCAAGUGCCGAGGAACCGAUUGAGCAUGUGAUUUUCAGAUGUUAAAGGAGUCCAUUUAUAGCUAAUCAGUUAGCUUUAAUGUGAUUCGAACAAUGCAGGUUCUUGUAUCACAAAGGAGUUAAAGACAUCAAAUGACACACAAUUGUACCAUUAACUCCACCCUCUACCAGAUUAUCUGGCAAAGUAUGCCAUUUAAAGGAUUAGGGGCACAAGUUUCCUGGGGGAGCUGCCUUAUAUUUUGUUCUUAUUGGCAAUGAAAGAGGAAAUGUACCUUGUCCCAAAACACUGGCAGUUCGAAUUCACCAACUGCUCCUUGGAAAUCCUAUGGGGCAGUUCUACUCUGUCCUAUAGGGUUGCUCUGAGUUGGAAUUCUUUUAAAACACUAUCUUACACACAUGAUUUUCAAACUUUUUUUUUGUUUGUUUGUUUAAGCAGAAGUCUUUUUUUCCUUAACUGUUGCAAAAAUUCCUAGCAUAAAAGAGACUAAAAAAAUUAUUGAUAUUGUUUUUGUAAAGUCAAAUUUAUAGUAUUAUAAUAAACUUAUCCUAAAGUCAACAAAUCUUAAUAGAGACUUUUCCUAUGAACAUUGGUGUUUAAAAUCAAGAGUUAGGGGAGAUAGUUGCCGGGUUACAUAUGGUAAGUUUUGUCAUCCAAUUUAUUUCUGUAUUUUUUUUUUCUCUUUUUGAGCGACACAGUUUCAAGAAAAGUCAUAAUUCAUACUGAUGGGGUUUAGUAUUCUGAAUUUAUACUUCUAGAUAUGAAGACAGAAGCAGUCCUGAGUCUAAAAAAAAAAAAAAAAUUAGAGCUAUACGAUAUUAUUAUAUUAGAGCUAUAUUAACAAGUGAUACAUUUACAGUAAAUUCAAAUAUCUAUGUAAGAAUGGUAAAAGAAAUUAGCCGCUCAAGUUAACAUGUUUAUGUUUUCCUAUUUUGUAUAGGAUAUAUUUCAGUGUGAUCCCUGGUGGUGCAGUGGUUAAGACCUUGGCUGCUAACCAGAACGUCAGCAGUUUGAAUCCACCAGCUGCUCCUUAGAAACCCAAUGGGGCAGUUCUACUCUGUCCUGUAGGGUUGCUAUGAGUCCGAAUCCACUCCAUGGCAAUGGGUUCGGUUUUUUUGGUACCCAAAGAUCCUUCUGGAGUCUCUAGAAUGUUGGUCAAGGAAAGACUGCCCUUGACUCUGUACACUGUGUCCUGUCAGUAGCAGGAGUGCUUUUGGGUGACACUGAAGCUUGGGAAACUCAUCUGUCAUCAAGGUGGUAGAGAAACUGUUGAAAGAAAUACCCUUAUGACAUUCCAGUGAGCCAAUUUGUAUCAUUGAAUUACUGUCAGCAUUUCUCAAAAGUGAGCUAAGAAACUACUUCCCAAUGAUUCAAAGGGUGUGUGACUCUCACUGACCCAUAGUGACUAGAGGAGAAUUUGCUGGGUAGCUUUGUUGAAAGGCAGCUUAAGUCAGCUCUAAACCCCCACUCGGUGUUGGUCUCUGAAGGUCUCAUAGGUAUUGCCAUGUAGAGGUUUUUCAGGCAGUGUUAGCUGGCUAGUGCUCUCAUGUGCUCCAAGGAGUUCUGAAAUGAAACAAAAUUGGCUUAAUACUAAAUUGUAAAUGAGCUAGUGCUCUGAUGUUUGCACUUGCCUUGAAAAACAGGUUUAAAAGAUGUGGAAAUCUGUCCAUCAAGAUCACCGAAGAAAGAAAUUCAAAAGAAUAUGUCAUUAUCUCAGAUAGUUCUGCCAAUCCCUAUCUUUGGAAGUGAACAAAAGCUUGUUUGGCUUUUGUCUGGUCUUCCCCGUUUUUCAAAGCCCAGUUUAAGUUCUGUUUUGUCUAAGAAAGUUUCCUGGGUUGCUUCAGACUGUCUCACCUCCCCUUUACCGCUGCUUCCCCUUCAUCUGGCAACUUGCCUGUUAUAAUGAUUGCCUUUGCAAUGGUCAUUCCUUGUAAUCCUUACCAAGAGGUAAGUAUUAUUACAACAUUUUAUAGAUAAGCUGAUACAGGCUAACAGUGGUGUAUUUUUAACUGUGGGAUUAGCAUUACAUCACUCCUUCCUACCUAACCUAUAAGCCUCACAAGAACUGGAAUCGGGUUUCUUAUCUCUUGGUAUUUCAACUUUCCCCGUAUACUCAAAGGAACAAGUUGUUGAUGAUAAUGAUUGAUGUUACCUUCUAUCUACUCCAUGAAGGUGAGGGCCUUCUGGGUCAGUGGUAGAAUUCUCACCUCUCAUGCAGGAGACCUGGAUUUGAUUCCCAGCCAGCGCACCUCAUACUCAGCCAACACCCCAGCUACCAACCGUCUGUUAGUGGAGGUUUGCAUGUUGCUAUGAUGCUAUACAGGUUUUAGCGGGGCUUCCAGACUAAGACAGACUAGGAAGAAAGACCUGGUAAUCUACUUCUGAAAAUCUGAAAAUCAACGGUCCAAUCCCCAGCCUAUCAUGGGGACGGUGCAGGACUGGACAGUGUUUUGUUCUAUUGUCCGUGGGGUUGCCAUGAACAGAGAAGGCUGACUCCACGGCCAAGAACAACAGCAAACUCUGUGAAGACAGGGUUCUUAACUUAAAUACAUAUAAAUGCUACGGAGGUCAUCUUUUAAGCUGUGACAGCCAUAUGAAGUCAGGAAAAUAUAUUAAGUGUGAAGAGAAGAAAUGCUAAAUAUGUGGGACUUGACCAUUUUGAGAGUCCAUCAAUGUUGCUUUUGAAACUCAGGAAACUUUGCUCAGCAUUUUGUUUAAAAGAGGAAGAAAAUGUUUAAAAAGUGAGGCACAUUGUGACUAUUUGUAUAUUCUCUGGUUGAUUUCCUGCAUUACAUCUUUGAAAGUUUCCUGAUUUUCAUAGAUAUUCUGGUACUGAGUGGUAUUUCCUGUUUCAGCCCAGAAAAUAGGAUUUGAUUCUUACGGGAAGCAUCAGUACCAGCAUCAGCUGCAAUGACAAAGAUGUUGAAAGGGUGACUAGUACAUGGAAACACAUUUGAAUAUUGAUCUUAAAAUAAACCACACACACUGAGUAAAUACAUAAAUCUUUAUGAAUAACUAUGACCUCAUCAUAAAUUUAAGUCUGAUUUUUAUUGUCAAGAAUGUUCCUUUUAAAGUUAAUUCUUGCCUUGAAGAGUUGGCCAAAGAUCAUUUUUGUAUUUUCUGUUCUUGAAUACUUGAAUUGUUAGAUAUUGUGUGUGAAAAGGCCAUUCAAGGCAGAAUCAUGGAAAUUACAGACGGAAAAUUAGGUCAUUUUCCUUCUUUUUCAGUACAGGUUGCUUCCUUAUAGAAUACUCUCAAAUGCCUUUGUCCAUCCUUGUUUAAAAUUACACGAAUGGUGAGACCAUUACCAGUUCCCCUGGGAGAUUAUUCCAUCGGCUAAUGGGCCUUGCUGGCUGCAGGUAUGUUUUUUCUCUGAUUUUCAACCUCAAAUUUCUUUUGCUCAAUUUCAUCCCAUUACCGUUUGGACCACCUAUGCAGUUCCUCAUAGAAGAUUGCAAGGCGUUCUUUUUGUAGGAAAAGGAAGCCUCUGUCAAAGUCCGUUAAAGAAAAAAAAAAUCACACGGAGUCUCAUGUUGACCGUAGCUACAGAAGAUAGUUCAGAAGACUAAAUUCUCAGGCUCUAAUUGCCUAGUAAUAACUAAUCUUUUAUUUUAAAUUCAGUUGAAUGAUUUUUUUUUCCCCAAAUAAUUGGGGGAAUUCUGGUUUCCUUAAAGGAGUGGGAUGUGUGUAUGUAUGCGUGUUGGAGCUCCAUGAAUAAAAUAAGGAGAUAUUGAAGAUUUCCCCUACUCUUUGGCCUAGUGCUCCUUCUAACUUAUUUAUUUUGGGCUUAUUAGCCCUCACAUCCUUUCCCAUCAUCGAGAUAGCGAGAACAACAGGAAGCUAUCCACACAUACCUCUCCACAUUUCAACACGGAAUGCUCAGGAGAUCAAUUAUGAGGAACUGGGUCCUUUUACAUUUGGAGUGCAUAAUCCUGCUUUAUUAUGUGUGUGUAUAUCGAAAUCUCAUAAUGUGGUAUUAUGAUAGUGGGCAUUUCCUAAACAUAAUCACAAAACUGGAUUAGAAAAGGCUCAUACAUUCGUCUUUAAGUAGGUGGAAGAAAUAUUGGGCCCCUUCCCUUGGGCACACAUGAGGGCUCUCAUUCAUGGGGAAAUGAAAUAAGCGAUUUGACCGGUUUGGUGUUGGGUUGUCUAGAAUUCAUUCCCCAGUGAGUUAGACUUGUGUCAGUGUGUCCAGUUCAGACUUGUAUUUCUAUCCAUAACCUGGGCCUUGUGAGUCUGCCACAUCUCAGAGUAUGAGCUACUCAAGGCACAAGCUAUGUCUUAAUUGGUGUUCAUUACCCAGGGGUAGGCCCAGUGCCUGGCAGAUAUCAGGGGCUUAAUGUAUGUUUGGGGAUAAGGAAUUAUGAGACAUGUACAAAUUAGAAAAAGCAGAGAAGAACAGUCAUUUAGUAUUUUUAACAUUCAAUGCUGAUAAUUUUUAAUAUCCCUAAAUGAAAAAAGUGGUUCAAUAAUUAUGAUAUGAAAUGAAUAAUAAUAAUAGAAAAACAUAGAUAACAUUUUAUUAAAUUUGUUAUUUAUAAUCAUGCAUGUAAAUAAAUUUAACAUAAAACUAAAAUAACUAUUAUAGAACAAGACAUUUUAAUUACAUAGAUACAAAUUAAUAUACAAUGCAUUAAUCCAUUUCUCGAGAAAAGGGGAAAUUUUUAUAUUGCAGUGUUCUCUGUUCCAUUAUUUUAAACUUUUAAACACAACUCCAAGUGGUCACACAGAAAGGCAGGAUUGCAGUAACUCAAGAUCUCUUUCCUUGUCUUCACAAUCGUCAUUUAUUUUGAAUCCACUGUUUUAGAUGUAGGAAUAUGUAAUGCCCAGGGGGUUGGAAACACAAACUGUACUCUGGCGAGCUCAAAGGAUUCUGAAUCAUUUUGAACUUUCAAAAUGAGUGGGUAUAGCUGAGGCUCUGGGCAUACAAAUAGGAGUCCUUUGACUUAAUUUUCCAUGUAAAGCCCAAUGUUUAUUUUAGAAUAAUCUUUAUAUAUUUGAAGCUUGCAUAUAUUUUAUUAAAACUCAAUAGUAACUGCAGCAAUUGUUUAGAACUCGGACCAACAAAAGGUUUUUGGGGUGGGUGAGUAUUUUAUUAUUGACAUUGUUUAGAAUUGAUAGCUCAUGGUGAAGACAAAAAGCAGACUGACUUAGUUGCUUUUAUUAUUUUUUUUUAUGUUCUCUACAGACAAUGUAUUGCUUGCCACUGGGGCAGACCAUGCCCUUCAGCCUGUUCUUGGAACACCAUUGUGGAAGAGAUUAAUUUUGUUUUGAACAUAAUUUUUGAAAAACAAAUGUUUGAAAACUCAAGUUAUGCAGUAUAGUAUACUGUAUUUUAUGCAAAUAACUUAUGCCUUCUAUGUUUGUUUGCCAACUGCUCCCUCUCCCCUGCCAGAUAUUUUCAUAAGCGCUGCUAUGCCAUUUUUUUUUAAGUGUUGCUGUAAAGAAAAAUUAGCAUAGUACUUUCGAAAAUACCUGGGGGGGGGGGGGUGGAGUUAGGUGGGGUAGGGAGUGGUUGGCAAAUGUAGAAGGGGCACAUUAUUUGUGUAAAAAUAUGUUUUUUUGGCUUCUACAAUUAAUUAAUAGGUAUUUAAUAAAUGUUUUUUGAAUGUCUAACUAGAGGAGAACAUAGAGUUUGGAUGAGAUCCCUCAGAAAGAGGCAGACAAAAAGUAGCGUGCCAGUAGUAGGGCACGAGGGCAGAGUAGGAAGGGCAUCAGCAGUUUGGAAAGGGAAGUGAGCAGUAAAUCAAAGAACAAAUGUUAAGUUCAGUUGAUGAUUGUCCUGGGGUGUAUGUGAGAAGAAGAGAAGCAAGUCCAUUUUUCUAGGCUUAACUUCCCAUCUCAUACUUUUGAUUUCUACCUUUGACCAGAGUUAGCCAUACAUGCUUUCCCCAUUCUGCUGCCCAGUUUCUGGAAGUCCCCUCCCACUCUUCCUUCUGCAGCUUAUCUGCUUCUGUCAGGCAAUUCCAUGAUGAAACUGUGUAAAACGGGGAAGCACUAAAGUGUAUCUCAGCGUCAUCCACCAAACACAGUGCUAGAAGUAGGGAGUACUUUGUAUUAAAGUUUUUCUGACCCUCUGCUCAGCCUGAGUUUGCACUUGGUGAGCUGGAGCUGGCAGGGGAAAUCACCACCCUUUACAGACUUUUUUGUACACUUCCUCUCCAGGUGGAGCAAGGGUUCCAGUUACUGUCGAGUUGAUUCCAACUCACGGUGACCCCAUGUGUGUCCAAGUUGAACUUUGCUCCAUAUGGUUUUCAAUGGCUGAUCUUUUGGAAUUAGAUCACCAGGCCUUUCUUCUAAGGCACCCCUUGGUGAAUUCAAACCUCCAGCUUCUGGGUUAGCAGCCACGUGGAUUAACUCUUUGUACCAUCCAGGGACUCCAUGGAUCAAGGAUAGAUACGUACAAUUUUUGAGCUAGCUCAUUCUGUUGUAGUCCUCUCCAUCUUACUCAAGAACAAUCUAACACAAAUACAUGAGAAUGCUCUGUGACCUGUUUAAAUCUCAGUACCUCCAUUUCCUACUCACUAAUUAAAAAAAAAAGGAAAUCAACUUUGAUUGUUUUUUGUCACUAUUAAUAUACAAUAACAAAGAACUAUUUAAGGGGAGGAGCCCUGGUGACACAAUGGUUAAGAGCUCAGCUACUAACCAAAAGGUUGGUGGUUCAAAACCACCAGCCACUCCACGGGGGAAAGAUGUGACAGCCUAUUUUCGUAAAGAUUUACAGCCUUGGAACUCUAUGGGGCAGUUGUAUUCUGUCCUAUAGGCUUGCUAUGAGUUGGAAUCAAGUUGAUGGCAACAGGUUUGGUUUGAGUUUAUAGUCUGUUGUUUAUGGCCUACAUGAUCUUAAUCUUCAUAGACAAGUUUUGGAAUAAUGCCUGGUGUUAGGGGUGGUUCAAAUAGAACAUGUUGUUGAGGGAUGUCACUUUAUUCUUUCCAAGUCAGAAAGAGCCAAUGGAAGAACAGAUCGGGUCAUGAAACAACCACCAUUAUCUAAUUGGAGGUGCACUCUGAGACCAAGUGUUUACAUCCCAAGCUCACCAUUAUUGUAUUUAAUGAUUGGAAUGUUCACUGUCUUCAGCUCCUGCCACACCUUGUUUGGGUUACUCAUGUGCAAAGUGACUUUCAACAAAAUGAAGUAAGCGACACUGGGCAAAAUUAGAUGAUAUGUGAAUUAAAAGUAGUUUUAAAAAACAGAGAUCAUCAAAAAGUAUAAUGCAAUAUCUACCUAUUGACAUUUAGGUUACCAGGUGUGAUGGUUAAGGUUGUGUUUCAACUUGGCUGGGCCAUGAUUCUCAGUGGUUUGGCAGUUAUGUAAUGAUGUAGUUUGGUAGUUAUGUAAUGAUGUAAUCAUCCUCCAUGAUAUGACCAGCUGAUCAGUUGUAAGGGGAUUUUCUUUGGGCAUGUGGCCUGCAUCCAAUAUAUAUAUGGACGUCCUGGUAAAGCUCCCUUUCUUGCUCUGGAUCUUGCAUCUGGUUCAUCAUCAUCUGACCUCAGGUUCUUGGGACUUGAGCCAGUUGCCUGCUGUAUUGCCUGCCUAUCUUCGUAUUCGUAGGCCUCCAAAGCCUGUGAACCAACAGUCUGCUGCCUUACCUGCCGAUCUUGGAUUUGUCAGCCUUUGUAACCCAUGAGCCAGUGGCCUGCCAUCUGACCCGCUGAUCAUGGGUUUGUCAGCGCCUGCAGCUACAUUAGUCAGGAGAAUCCUUCAGCCUGAUGCCAGCCUCUAAAACUGUAUGAGCCAUUUCCUUGAGAUAAAUCUCUCUCUCUCUAUAUAUAUAUAUACACGCUUCACUGGUUUUGCUUCCCUAGAGAACUGAGCCUAAGACAUCAGACUAGAGUUAGCAUGGGUUAUUAGGAAAAGAAAGCUGUGAUUACCAUGGAGACUAUUUGGCAAUAAGAAAUAACAAUAAUGAUGUUUGAUUUAAGCCUUUUCUCCUCAGGGCUCACAUAUGCAAUAAUUUCUUUUCAUAAUAUACUGAGAGUGUAGGGAGGAACGGGUAUCAUUAUCUCCAUUUAAUAGAAGGUGAAACUGAGGCACAGAGAAAGGAUUUGUAUGUGAGCAGAGUGACUCAUUGGUAGGAUUGGAAAUAGAAAAAUAUCUUCUAGAUUUCUGGUCCUGGGGCCUCUGACUAUAAAUUCCCUUCUGCUGAUACUGGGCAGCAAAAAAAAAAACAAAAAACCAAAAAUGAAACCUGCUGCCGUCGUGUUGUUUCUGAGUCAUAGAGGCCCUAUACGACAGAGUAGAACUGCCCCAUGGAGUUUCCAAGGAGCACCUGGUGGAUUCAAACUGCCAACCUUUUGGUUAGCAGCCUGAACCACUAUGCCACCAGGGUUUCCACUGGGCAGCAAAAGGGUACCCCAAGUCCUCAAAAAACAGUAGGAGUUAGCUCAUCUCUUGAGCUUUCCAAACAGAUGCCGUGCAGAGGUGAUGGCUAAAUAACAUAGGCGUUGGUUGGAGAGCCACAGUUUUCUAAGGUAUUUACUUCAUUGUUUCUAACUUCAUUAGGUCAAGAAAAGAGAAAAUUAUAAUUUCCGUGAGCUUUGUUUUCUUGGCUUAGAAGCCACGAGCCCCAGUUAAAAGGCUCCCUGAAUAAGUGGCUCCUCUGUGUUCAGGCGGAGACCACCCCCUGACCCAGAGAUGUGCUUUCGCAACAUUCAGAUGGAGAUUUUCAGAGGUCCUAAAUAAGACAGACAACACAAUCCCAUAGUCAAAAGUCAGACCUAUUUUAAUCUCUGAGUGAGGCUAUUACUCUAGGACAAGGCCCUUCUUGUCUGAUUCCCUGCUAUUUUCAGUGAUUCACAAGCCUAAAUCUCUUUCAUCUGAGAGUACGGAGCUACAUCCCUCUUUCAGAUUUGUUUGUGAGUUAAAAUAGUUCCCAUCCUCACUGUUCUUGAAGUGUCUUCUUAUAGUCAAACAAUUCCUCUGGCUGUGAGCCUAGAUGAGCCCCUGGGGAGGGAGAGCCAGGGCCCACUUGGAAGGCAACACCAGGGAAGAAUCCAGAGAGUGGCCGGAAGUUGGGUUGCUGCUUGCUGGGAUGGUCCCACGGAGGCUCUGAGCCAAUAACCCAGCAUGGUUGGGGGAUUGACUUCUUUUAGAGAAGGCCGGUGCUCUGGACAGCUUCAGCAUCACAGUCACGCACGUGCUGGUCUUCUACUAUCUGCUGAAGCAUACACAUGCCAGUGUUUUGGUCCAAGUCCCAUCAUUCUAGUACCCAGUGGAGUUAGGAUGAAAGACUCUCUUAGUUUCUUGCUGACACAUGCCCCAUAUUCAGUCAUAACUGGUCCACUUGGAUCGACUGUAUUCAUAUUUAUGGGUUAUUUUUCCAAAGUGAAUGCUGAACUAUCAAAGACUUUAUCCAGUUUUCAUAUAUCCUAGAGUUUUUGAAAGGAACCCUGGUGGCACAAUGGUUAAGUGCUGGGCCACUAACUGACAGGUUAGCGCUUUGAACUCAUCAGCUGCUCCAUAGGAGAAAGAUGUGGCAGUCUACUUCCAGAAAGAUUAUAGCUUUGGUGUUUUUGAGUUUGCUAGUUUUCUGCUUUUUUCUUAUAUCUAUGUCUAUGGUUGAAUUGGAAACCCUGGUGGCAUAGAGGUUAAGAGCUGCGGCUGCCAGCCAAAAGGUCGGCAGUUUGAAUCCACCAGGAGUUCCUUGGAAACCCUAUGGGGCAGUUCUACUCUGUCCUAUAGGGUCGCUAUGAGUUGGAAUCGACUUGGCGGCAGUGGGUUUGGUUUGGCUUUUGGUUAUGGUUGGAUUCUCUGAAGUCACUGUUUUUAAUUGUUUAAUACUUCAAUUUGUUGGAGGCAGAGAAGGGUUUGAGAAAUGUGGCCUGAGCUAGGCUUCAGAGGAUCUGAAUAGAGUAAUAAUGACUUACCAUCUAUUGAGUGCUUGUUCCUUGCUAGGCACUGUGCAAGAGCAUUACAUGUACAAUGAAGCCAGGACCUGUAUAAGGCGGAGGCCUGUCAGGGAAGGGCAACUCAAAUAUUUCCCACUAAAAUGGGUGAUAGAAAAGUGAUAACCCUGCACCCUGUCAAAGGUAGAAAACUUGCGAGAUCCAGAAAAACAAGGCAGUCCUGUAGAAUUCUGGCUGUCGCAGGUUUCACAGUAUUACCUAACUUAAUUGUCAUAAGAAUCCCAUGGGAUCAUUUACAGAUAAUAAAAUGAAGGUUUAGGGGUGUUAGGUAAUAUUUGCCAAGUGCCACAAUUAGCUUGUGGAUACAAUCAGGAUUUCAUCUCAGGUGUUCAAGCUGCUAUACACAGUAUACAUCCAAUUUUGUUGCAACUUUGAAAAUAAAUGUUUGACUCUCCAUCCAAUGCCAAUGUCUUGGUGAAGCUCAUAAAAUAAAAUAUUUUCUCUUUUCUUUCUUUACUCUCUCUGUCUCUAAAGAAAAGGUCCCCGAAGUCAGCGAGAAACUCUGGUGAGUUGCCCUUUUCUUUUGUUUAUAGGAGGAAAUGUGAACUUCAUGGUUGUUCCACACAUUCUUGCCACUUCCCCAAAUCAAAGAAAAAAGCAUGGUUCUGAUGCAUGUUUUCAUAUCAAAAGGUCAAAACCAAAGGUCCUUUAGCUUGCCACGAGGAAACAGUGGGAAGAGAGCAUUGUCACAAAAAUACCAGGAGCUGCAAAAAAUUUUUAAAAAGUUUUGUGGGGGAUAACAUUUUGUUUCUGAGUUCUGGUCCAAAUCUAAUGUUUUCAGAAGUAGCAAUUCAGCAGGAGACUGAAGGCGUUUGGAUUUUUUUGUUGAGUCAACAUCCUACCCACAUAAUGAAACGAAGAAUUGAUUACCACUACCCCUCCCCUCAUCUCUCCUGACAAGUAAACAAAAAGUAAGCACUGUUUUUGCUGUAGGGUAUGUCUACAUCCUAGAGCAAGACGGAGAGUUAAGCCAAUACUAAUCCAAAAUUUCAAGUCAAAGAAAAAGUGAUUUGCCUUUAAUUAUCUAAUAAAAAUGUUAUGGAAGCCUGAAUUAUCUACAUACACUCUUCUCUUUGCUUGGUAUAAACAUAGUGACUUUGUGUUUGGGUCAUUUUACUUUACAAUUAUUCCUCAAGAUUUUCUAGUUACUAGAGAAGUUGGAAACCCUGGUGGUAUAGUGGUUAAGUGCUAUGGCUGCUAACCAAAAGGUCAGUAGUUCAAAUCCACCAGGCGCUCCUUGGAAAAUCUAUGGGAGGCAGUUCUACUCUGUCCCAUAGAGUCGAUAUGAGUCAGAAUCAACUCGAUAUCAAUGGGAUCUGGUUUGGUUGGUUUUUUUACACAAGCUCAGCUGCUAACCAAAAGAUCAGUUCGAAUCCACCAGCCACUCUUUGGAAACCCUAUGGGGCAGUUCUGCUCUGUCCUAUAUGAUUGUGAUGAGGCAGAAUCGACAGCAAUCGGUUUAGUUUUGAUUUUUUAGACUUAGCUCAAGGAGCCCUGGUGGCACAGUGGUUAAGCACUCUACUGCUAACGGAAAGGUCGGCAGUUCAAACCCACUAGCUGCUCUGUGGGAGAGAGAUGUGACGAUCUGCUUCCUUAAAGAUUGCAGCCUUGGAAACUCUUUGGACAGCUCUACUCCGUCCGGUAGGGUCGGUAUGAGUUAGAAUUGAUUCGGCAGGCAAUGGGUUUGGUUUGGUUUGGUUUAGACUAAGCCCGUGUGAGGAGAGGUAGCUUCAAGUUCUAUUCACAGGGAAGGGCUGGGAUCUAAGGUUUGGUUUUUAGGUCACCGCCAAUGCUGGGGAAGGAUGCAAACAGGUGUUCUCAGUGCCAACUUCACAUGAGCAUCACCUGCGGAGCUUUUAAAAAAGCAGACUGUUGGCUCUGGCCCCCUCUCAGGCCAACAGGGUCAGGAUCUCUGGGAAUGGAGCACAGGCAAGGCUGUUUCCUAAAAUUCCCUACUGAUUCAGAGACAGUAAUCUUUGAGAAUCAGUGGAUUGUAUCAUCACCCUGGUGGUGGGACAUAUAACAAAGCUGGAGAAUACUUCAUUCAACUCACUUGUCUGAAUGGUCUGCAGACUUUUGGCUUUUAAGAAUAUUGAAAAGAGAUGAGGCCUUUUUUUAAUAGCAUUGUGACCUUUCAUAUCAGUCUAAAAAGAAAAUGCCUUUCAGUUCUCCAACCUAGUUAUAAAAUCAAAUUCUAAAACACAAAAGUUCCUUUACGAAACUGAAAAAUGAAAAAUCUGUAUGUUCUUGUAAGUACUGCCGAAGAGAGAACAAUGCAGAUAAAAAAAGUAUUUAAAAUUAUUCAUGAGUUGCUUUCACUAAGUCCUUUGAUUUUACACUUGGAUAACUAUUUACACAGCUACAACCAUCUACCAUAUCCAUUUGAUGAUUUAAAAUAGUGGUUCUCAUGCAUCAAAAUUACAGUUGGCUUGGGAAACCACGGAUUAAACCAUUUGCCGUCAAGUCAGCUCCAACUCAUACAGACCCCAUGUGUGUCAGAGUAGAAUUGUGCUCCAUAGGAUUUUCAAUGGCUGAUUUUUUGGAAGUAGAUCACCAGCCCUUUCUUCCAAGGCACCUCUGGGUGGACUUAAACUAGCAAACUUCAGUUAGCACUCAAUAGCUUCACAAUUUGCUCACGGGUGGAUUAACGAGUACACACAGGUUUAUAUUAAGCAAGGUACACAUGGGCUUACUUGUGUUUACUCACUAAUCUGUAGUGCACAACUUUACACGAGUUUUACCACAUCUUAGAAAUUCUGCACUACAGAUUAGUCAGUAAACACAAGUAAGCCUGUGCAUAUCUUGUUUAUUGGGUAAUCCAUCUCUGCCUUUGCACCACACAGGGACACCAAAACACAGAUUGCUGGGCUGCAUUCCAGAGUUCCUGAUUUAGUGGGUCAGGGGUAGGACUGAGUAAUUUGCAUUUCUAACAAGUUCCCAGAUGAUGCUGAUGCUGCUGGUCCUGAGACCACAGAAGACCAAGGAAGAGCUUGAACACCUCUCCCAAAACAGCUCAUCAUAUCUUAAAUUGUGGGGAACAAAUGUGAAUAUUACUUUAAUAUUAUUUUUUCACUCCAAAAAGAAUUUGAAACAAUUCUCUAAAAGUAUAUAUAAUAUAUUAAAAUUUUAAAAUAAAAAAGGUGAGGUAAUUUUGAUGAAAAGUAAUGACUGAAUAAAAAAAAAGCCAAAAAACUAAACCCAUUGCCGAUGAGUUGAUUCCGACCCAUAGCGACCCUACAGAACAGAGUAGAACUGACUUGUAGGGUUUCUGAAGAGCGGCUGGUGGAUUUGAACUGCCAACUUUUUGGUUAGCAGCAGUAACUCUUAACCACUACAUCACCAGGGCUCCAAAGGUUGAAUAGUAGAAUAAAAUUGGGUAGCACAUUUAUAUAGUAUAUCAAUUUUAAGAAAAAGUAAGAUAAAGAUUAAGUGUAUUUCACAUUUAACUGAAAUAUACAUUAGAGAGAAUCAAUUCUAUAAAACAAAUCAUUUUAUACUGAGCUUUUUCUAAUUUUUGAACUGCUUUGAAACUUGAGAGAUAACAUUUAACCGCUCUAAAACAAAGUAAAAAUGGAAAAUUGCCUGGCUCACCCAAGGGAUAACUGCCAAUGGUGUGAAAUCCUGUUCUGCUCUUCCUUAUGUAUGUAUGUAGCUUGCUUUCAAACAGAAUGCAGUAACAUAGUGAGUGAUGACAGGCCUGGUUUAUUUAAUAAAACUGUGUAUAGUAUAUAACUGAACUGAAAACUUAUCUACUUGAAGGCUUGAAACUUCAGACUGAUUAUCUACAUGGGAGCAGAAAGUCGAAAGCAGAAAGUAGUCCUAGCAAAUGAAGCAGGUAAGCAAACUGCCAGGCGAAGAAGUGGAGAGCAAACACUUGGAGCCUACUCUGCACCAGGACCAGGUAGAGCUGCCCCAUCAGGUCUCUGAGGCUGCAGACUGCCACAUCUUUCUCCUGCAGAGCGGCUGGUGGAUUCGAGCCACUGACCUUUCGAUUACCAGCUGAGCGCUUAACCACUGUGUCACCAGGACUGCUUGAUAACAGGUAAACAAUGUCAAAAAAAGGGAAAAUUUAGAAAGGUGUAUAUGGGUCAUAGGACCUAAAAACAAUAUCUUCCUUGAACCUGAUGUACUCCAAUAAGUGCUCUAAUGAAACUACCAAUACAGUAAAUUGGGAGAAAUUUGACACUCUAAUAACAAGUUUUUGGCCCAGGUAUAAUGACCUGCAAUUAAAAACAGACCAGGUUAAAAGGAUAUACACUUUGAAAAUCCAUCUUUUAAAAAAAAAAAAAGGCAGAUUUUGUAAUUCGAUGCUUCAUACUUUAGUAAAUGAGGCAGCGGCGGUUCAGUGGUAGAACCCUAGCCCUCCAUGCCGGAGACCCAGGCACAAUUCCUGACCAUUGCAGCUCGUGCACAACGACCCCCUGUCUGUCAGGCUUGUGUAUUACCAGGACAAAUUACCCAACAAGCAAGGUAAGCAUAGGCUUACGGCAUCAACAAAACAGCGGCACCAGUUCUUGAAAGCAAAGAUCCAUAGAUGCCAAGAUACAGGACACAAGGAAAAGUGAGCACCGAGGUGGAAGGGAACUGGCAGGGCACUAAAUGAAACUGAUACCAGCUCCAGUGCUUGAGAAUAUGCCGGCCAGAAAUAAAGUUCACGCAGGGUCAAGAGAGUGCCCGUGCACAGGGUUGUUUAAGCUAUGAGGCUCCUACCACUUCAACACCUUUGUUGACAUCUGUCUGCUAUGCACUAUCAUCCUAUGUAAUUGAAACUCCUUAUCCUGGUGGAUCUCUUGGGAGUGUACUAUUUCCAAUAAACAAGAGAUGGAGGUGGGCUGCCAAGUAUAACUCUUGUUUCAUUCACUCAAUAUGCAAUUGGAUCCAACAUGAGUGGUUACCGGGCAAGGGUGAAUUAGAUUAAUAGACAAUAGGUCUCUGAUCCGUUUUUAGAGGACUGUCUUAUACGUCCACGUCUGCUGAUCCAGCAACUCCAGCCAGGAGGGCCAGCAAUGCUCUUUACCAGGAUACAAACACAAGGUUGUGCUCUCGCACACAUCCUGGUGAACAACCAGUGGGAAUUCCAGUCCCAGAUGACACUCAAAAGCGAGUGUCUUAGUCAUCUAGUACUGUUAUAACAGAAAUACUGCAAGUGGAUGGCUUUAACAAAAAAAAAUUUAUUUUCUCACAGUCUAAUAGGCUAGCAGUCCAAAUUAAGGCAUCAGCUCCAGCAGAAGCCUUUCUCUCUCUCUGUCGGCUCUGGAGGAAGGUCUUUCUUGUCAAUCUUCCCCUGGACUAGGAGCUUCUCUGCGCAGGAACCCCAGGCCUAAAGGAUGUGCUCUGCUCCUGGUGCUUCUUUCGUGGUGAUAUGAGGUUCCAUCUCUGCUUGCUUUUCUUUGCUUUUUUUCUCUUGAGAGAUAAAAGGUGGUACAGGCCACACACUAGGGAAACUCCCUUUACAUGGGCUUAGGGAUGUGACCUGGGUAAGGGUGGUGUUACAAUCCCACCCUGAUUCUCUUUAAUAUAAAAUUACAAUCACAAAAUAGAGGACAACCACACAAUACCGGGAAUCAUGGCCUGGCCAAAUUGAUACACACAUUUUUGGGGGGAUAUAAUUCAGUCCAUGAAAAAAAAGGACAGGGGGGUAAUUCGAAUAAGUUGACCGUUGCAAUGAAUUCAAUCAAGCUGCUUUUUAACUGUAUAGAAUUUAUGUAGAGUUAUGUCACAAGUUCUAUAAACGAUAAUACUUAUAACUUUAAAAUGUUUGUCAAAAGAUAAGUGGUAAUUUUGGUGAAGGGUAAGACAGUACACAAUACUGGGAAGCCAGCACAACCUGUACAAGGCAAGGCCAUGGUAGCUCCAUAGACACAUCCAAACUCCCUGAGGAACUGAAUUGCUGGGUUGAGGGCUAUGGGGACCAUGGAUGGUCUCAGGGAACAUCUGGCUCAAUUGGCAUAACGGAGCUUAUAAAGAAAAUGUUCUACAUUCUACUUUGGUGAGUAGCAUCUGGGGUCUUAAAAGCCUGUGAGCAGCCAUCAAGGAUAUUUCACUGGUCUCACCUCUUCAGGAGCAAAAAGAAUGAAGAAAACUAAAGACAGAAGGGAAAGAUUAGUCCAAAGGACUAAGGGACCGCAUCUACCAUGGCUUCCGCCAGACUGAGUCCAGUACAAUCAGAUUGUGCCCAGUUACCACCACUGACUGCUCUGACAGGGACUACAAUAGAGGGUCCCAGACAGAGGUGGAGAAAAAUGUAGAACAAAAUUCUAACUCAAAAAGAAAGACCAGGCUUGCUGGCCUGACAGAGACUGGAGAAACCCUGAGAGCAUGGCCCCUGGACACCCCUUCAGCUCAGUAAUGAGGCCACUCCUGAGGUUUACCCUUCAGACAAAGAUUGAACAGGCCCAUGGAACAAUACAAGACUAAAGGGGCGCACCAGCCCUGGGGCAGGGACUGGAAGGCAAGAGGGAACAGGAAAAACUGGUAAUAGGGAACCCAGGGUUGAGAUGGGAGAGUGUUGACAUGUCAUGGGGUUGUUAAUCAAUGUCAUACAACAAUGUGUGUACUAAUUGUUUGAUGAGAUACUAGUUUGUUCUGUAAACCUUCAUCUAAAGUUCAAUCAAAAAAUACUGAAAAUAUGUUUGUCAUAAAUGUGGAUGCAAUUUAGCGUGCAUUUAAUAUAAUACCAACAUGGGUAAUAAUUUAAUGUAAUACUAACAUGGCAAAUGUCCAAAAAUACUGGAAAUAUUAAUAUUUAUCUAACAUGAAAGUUUGAAUUUAUGCAUCAAGCAAGUUUCCUUUUUUAUUGUCUGUUGUGGGGGACGCAGUGCUUGAUAUUACUCUAGAUAUGCUAAUAAACAAGGUAUUAGUCUCAUUAAAAGGACACAAAAUUCAAUAUUUAUUGUGCAAAGUAUGUUCCUGUUUUGCAACAAUAAGUAUGUUUCUGAAUUUGUCUUCCAAGAAAGCAACAAAGGGCAUGAAUAUACUUGAUGAAUUCAUGAAAGAAUCCAAGAAAUUAGUGCAGGCUUAUCCCAAUGAGUUAAAUAUAACCCUUUACAGAGAAGUACGACAAUCUCAUUCUCACAUGAGAGCUAAGUUUAUAGAUUCGGGAAAGACAAAUUUUACUCAUGUAGGCACGUAUGAUUCCAUAAUAGAAGAUAAAACACAAUGCAUAGUUCCCAAUGUUGAAAAUGCUUUACACGUAUUCCUGACUAAUGAUCACCAACUGCACAACAGAAUGCUCAUUUUCAUUCCUAAAGAGACUCAGAAAGCCUCAGCAUACAACAAAGAUUCAAGAAAGACUCUAUUCAUUAUCCUUAUUAUGUAUGGAAAUAGAUAUUGUUUGGCAGCUUAAAUGUGAUGAAAUCAUUGUAGAAUUUGUAAAAGCAAAGAAUAGAAAGGAACAUUUUUAAUUAUAACGUGUGAGAGAUGAGAGAUCUAUUUAAAAAUAAAAUAUAGUAAUUUGUUGCAAUAUUUGUUUUCUGACCAUUAAAUUUUCUUUUAUGGCAUUUUUUCAUUUGUUCAUUUAUAAUCAUAGCAUGUAGCAUGAAACAAGCAUCAAAAUUGAAGUAAGACCCAUUUAAAACAAAAUUGGUGAAAGAAAAUUUUUUGUUCUGGAAGAUCAACAGAAUUUUAUAUUGAUUGUUGAAACAACUAAGUUCACUGACUUGUUUUCCUUGUCAUAGACUAUGUCGAAUAUUCUUUUUGUAGAAAAUGUGGUAUAUAGUAAAAACCUUAGUAUCCCACAUCCACUAAAAAUUUUAUAACCCAGUUCAUCUCAUUGUGCUAAAGUGGCAUAUUCCACUUCUGUGUUCAAUUGCUGAUAUUAUAGUUGCAUUUUAAAAAGAAGUUACAUCGUGGAUAGCUAAGACACACACAUACAAGCAUAUAUACACGUGUAUAUAUAGCAUGCCUGACUUGAAUGGGUGAGUAAGCAGAGGAGGGGAUAAACAAUUAUCAGUGUUUAGGGGCCUUACAUGCCUUAAUCUGUCCCUGUGUGUUGCUCUCAUGCUGAACAGAUUUCAGCGGAGCUUCUAAACUAAGAUGGACUAGGAAGAAAGGUCUGGCAAGCUACUUCCAAAAAUUAGCCAGUGAAAACCCUAUGGGUCACAGUAGUCUGAUCUGCAACUGAUCAUGGGGCCAGCAUUUUUUUCCAUUCUGUAUGGGGUUGCCAUGAGUUGGGACCUGACUCCAUGGCAGCUUACUACAACAUACUGUAGUAACUGCUGAGCUGGGGGACCUUCAGUGUCUGCAGUAGCUACGAGGAAACAAUGCUUGCCCCACACCCUAGAGCAAAUACACUGGUCCUCCCAAUUAGUCUGUUUACUUGGAACACUUGAAGCCAAGUUUGCCGGCAGCUAACUAAAGCCUUGUUCGCUUGAGGGCUGUGCACCUCUCUAUGAGAGAUGUCAAUUACCACUUGACAAAUUGUAUCAACUUCUUGGCCAAAUGGCAGGCAGCUGUCAAUGUGGACACAAGAAGAGUCACAUAAUUCAAGAAAAGCAGAGGUAUUUGCAAAAGCAAAUCUCUUAGGAGCUUAGCAAGCCUGCAAGCAUUACAGCUUCCUUCAUCUUUCACUUCAGCAGAGUACACGAUGCUCAAGAAAGAUACAAACUAUUUUCAGGUCCCAUGACCCAUAUACACCUUUCUAAAUUUUUUUUUUUUGGACAUGGUUUACCUCUUUAAAAAGUGGUAAAGCAUAAAUGUUAUUGCAUAGAGCACUUUUACUUGUGAAGGUACUUUUAAAUUAUGUUUGUUACUACAUUUACUUUUGUUGCUGUUAUGAUAUUUAACCUUGAAUUCAGAAUCCAGGAAUGAGAAAAGAAACAAUCAAUUCAUGAUAGGUAUUAAAUGUUAACCUAAAAUGAUUAGUAUACAACCAGUGCUUCUCAAAGUGUGGACCAAAAUCUGUUUUGUAAAAACAAAACAAAAAAACAAAUUCCACUUCUCAUCUCUUAGGUGUGGGGCGCACAUAGUGACUGCCUUCCAAAGAGUACAGUGCAGAAAAGGAAGGGGGAAGAAAAAGUAACUUUACAGCAGCGAAACCUCACGAACACUACCACAGCCAGGUGAUCAAGGUCGACAUCAGCAGUCAUAAAUCAUGUUGAUAGUAUGUAACCUUGAUAUGAUAUGAUGAAAAUGACACUUUACCUUUGUGGUUUUCCUUCCAGUAACCCAUAAACCUAAUCUAAUUAUGAGAAAAAAAUCAGAAAAAGUCCCAUAGUGGGGCAUCCUGCAAAAUAUCUGAGCAGUACUCAUAAAAAUGUCAAUGUCAUAAAAAACAAGAGAAGUCUGAGAAAUAGUCACAGCCAAGAUGACUCUAAGUAGACAUGAUGACUAAAUAUAAUGUGGCAUCCUGGAUGGGACCCUGGAACAGAAAAAGGACAUUAGACAAAUACUAAGGGAAUCUGAAUAAAGUAUAAAACCAAAACACGAAACCCACUGCCCUUGAGUUGGUUCCGACUCAUAGCGACCCUGUAGGAUAGAGUAGAACUGCCCUGUGGGCUUUCGAAGGAGCGCCUGGCGGAUUUGAACUGCCAAUGUUUUGGUUAACAGCCAUAGCACUUAACCACUAUGCCACCAGGGUUUCCCAAAUAAAGUAUAUAUAUAAAAAAAAACAACCCAGUGCUUCAGUUAAUAAAGAAACCCUGGUGGCGUGGUGGUUAAAGCUAUGGCCGCUAGCCAAAAGGUUGGCAGUUCAAAUCCACCAGGUGCUUCUUGGAAACCCUAUGGGGCAGUUCUACUCUGUCCUAUAGGGUCGCUAUGAGUCGGAAUCAAUUCAACGGGAACAGGUUUGCUUUUAACGGGUUAGAUAAUAAUAUAUCAUUAUCGGUUUAUUAAUUGUGACAAGUGUACCAUAAUAAUGUAAGAUGUUAAUGAUAGGAGAAACUGGGUGUGGGGUAUUUGGGACUCUCUUGUACUAUCUCCUCAAUUUUUUUGUAAAUCUAAAAUUGUCUUAAAAAUGGCCUAUUAAAAAAAAAAAGAUUCCUUUCUUCAUUCAAGACCAACUGAACUCAUAUCUCUUGGAGUAGAGUGCAGUUAUCUAUAUUUUUUAUUAGCUUGCCAUGAUUCAGCAGUUUCUUGUAGAUCUCUAUCCUCUACCUGGGGCCCUGGUGGAGCAAUGUUUAAGAGCUCAGCUGCCAACCAAAAGAUCAGCAGUUGGAAUGUACCAGCUGCUCUUUGGAAACUCUAUGGGGCAGUUCUACUCUGUCCUAUACGGUUGCUAUGAGUUGGGAUUGACUAGAAGGCAACGGGUUUGUUGUGGUAGAAGAUUAGUCCUGGGCCCUGAGGGUUUGAGGUCUUUAAUACCAGUACCAGUUGCCAUCAAGUCGACUCUAACUUAUGGCAUCAGAGUAGGACUCUGCUCUAUAGGAUUUUCAAUGGCUGAUUUUUCAGAAGUAGAGUGCCAGGCUUUUCUUUCAAGGUACCUCUGCGUGGACUUGAACCUCCAACCUUUCAGUAGCAGCCAAGUGUGUUAACCAUUAACACCACCCAGGGACUCUGAGGUCUGAAUUAAAAAAAAAAAUUUUUUUUUUUUAGGAGUGUAAAAAUAAACAGUAAGUGCAUCUGUUUUUAAAUUCUCCCUAUAGCUUCCCCAUUGCAGAAUUCAUACCAAAGGGCCUCAGAUGUGGGUGCCUCAUGCAAUUAAGUGAAUGAAGUAUUGAGAACCCAGAGGUUCUGUGUUGUGUGUAGACACUUUGGUCUGCUCACACUCAGCUCAGAUCAUGGUGCAGAGUGAAUGUGGUUCCUUCAGUGUGACUCCAACUGUUCCCCUGUAAGUGACCCCUCUUAGAUGGCCUCCUGAUGGUGGGCCGUUCACCUGGAGUGAUGAAGGCACACUGAAGUGGGAGUCAGGAAACAGGCUCCCUGAUCUUGGUCCCACUGCUACUACUGACCCCUAUGUCACAAGGACAGCUUCCUCUUAAUCCCUUGGACUUGGGUUCCUCACCUAGAACCAAAAGGGUUCUAUUAGGUGAUAUGUGUAUUUAGUGAUCUUUCAAAUCUCUUUUAUAUCAGAUGACCUUAGAUAUUAGAUUAUCAUUCAAAUCUCUUUUAGGUGUGACAAUCGAUUCUGAGAUUUUCCUACAAGGAAGCAGGGAGAGUCUUUGUUCACGAAGCACUGAAAAGUGCCAAAGGAGCCUUGUCUAGAAACAUGUAUUCCUCACCCUACAGAGAAGAGGCUAGAAAAGUGUGACUUUGUAGUCUGGAGCGUAGCAGCCAUCACUGCCAAAGGCAAGCUGAGAAAACCCUCCCUGUGACAGGUCCAAUUCCAACUUAGUUCAGGCUCUCUGGGUAAGAGAGAGGCGCAGAGCUAACAAUCUUCCCGUUGUCUGUGGGGUGGGUCAUGGUCCCGCCUGAUCCACACCCUUUCGGCACCACCUUCAACACACAGAGAGCAGCACCCUUGGAUGGGGGAGGAUACGAUUAUAGAGCAGACACCAGUUGCUUACAUUGGAUUUCAGCAGUUAAAUUGCUGGGUGUUCUCAUAAUGUGUUGUUUACUCUAAGGCACUUUAUCUGUGUUUAUAAACCAUCUACUUGGUUUUCCUGCCAACUUCAGUGUGGGAUAACUGCAAUUAAAAAAAAAAAGAAACCAAGAGCCAAAAGUCUAAAGUUGUCAUUUAUUAAACAAAAAGAAUACCUGACUUUCUAAGCUAACGUAUGUUCUAGCUAAUGCAAUUAUUUUUUAAAGCAUAACCAAAAUGAGAAAAUGUCUUCUAAUUGCCAAAAAAAUUGUACAGUCGAUAGACUAUAACUGUAUAAAAUCUUAUGGUGAAAAUUUCAUUAAUAUUUUCUUUUUACAUUGUUACUGCAUACACACAUUUUUAUACAAAUAACGUGCACCUUCUAUGUUUGUUUGCCAACUCCUUGUUCCCCCCGUGAGGUAUUUUUGUAAAU